UCCCUGAUGGACUAGAGGUCAGGAUUCGGCGCUCUCACCGCCGCACCCAGGGUUCGAUUCCCGGACAGGGAA
rnacentral:tRNA from 1 species